ACGGCUCAGUAACACGUGGACAACCUACCCUAAGGAGGGGGAUAACCCCGGGAAACUGGGGAUAAUACCCCAUAGACUAUGGAUGCUGGAAUGCUUCGUAGUUCAAAGGUCCGCCGCCUUAGGAUGGGUCUGCGGCCGAUUAGGUUGUUGUUGGGGUAACGGCCCAACAAGCCCGUAAUCGGUAUGGGUUGUGGGAGCAAGAGCCCGGAGAUGGAUUCUGAGACACGAAUCCAGGCCCUACGGGGCGCAGCAGGCGCGAAAACUUUACAAUGCGAGAAAUCGUGAUAAGGGAACUCUGAGUGCCCGUAAAAUCGGGCUGUCCAUCUGUUUAAAUAACAGGUGAAGAAAGGGCCGGGCAAGACCGGUGCCAGCCGCCGCGGUAAUACCGGCGGCUCGAGUGGUGGCCACUAUUACUGGGCUUAAAGCGUCCGUAGCUGGUCUGUUAAGUCUCUGGGGAAAUCUUCCGGCUCAACCGGAAGGCGUCUCAGGGAUACUGGCAGACUAGGGACCGGGAGAGGUGAGAGGUACUCCAGGGGUAGGAGUGAAAUCCUGUAAUCCUUGGGGGACCACCUGUGGCGAAGGCGUCUCACCAGAACGGCUCCGACAGUGAGGGACGAAAGCUGGGGGAGCAAACCGGAUUAGAUACCCGGGUAGUCCCAGCCGUAAACGAUGCGCGUUAGGUGUAUCGGUGACCACGAGUCACCGAGGUGCCGAAGAGAAAUCGUGAAACGCGCCGCCUGGGAAGUACGGUCGCAAGGCUGAAACUUAAAGGAAUUGGCGGGGGAGCAC
rnacentral:rRNA from 1 species